CCAGGUAGAGUGCUAUAUUAGUGUAGCAUCAAACCUGCAAAAUAGAACCACAGGGAAGUGCCAGUGGACAGACAUGCCAAGCUGCGUUGUCGCUGAUGCACCACCGUGGCACUGGGAUGGAACAGGAUGGAGCCACAUAUUGGAAGACAGACACUUGUGCUGCUCUGCUGACUGUGAUCUGGGUUUGACUCAUGGAACUAAACAACAUUUCUGAUGAGACCAAGUCCCCAGAUUGCCUCUAGAGGAAGCCCCUGGAACCCAGCUGAUGUGCCAAUGUCUCUGCCCUUUUCCUCCUAAGAAGUGGAUUUGGAAAUGUGACACUUUCACCCUUAAAUGGAAGACUCUGGACCAAAUGCCACACUUCCAGUUUCCA